AUACAUUUAUCGUUUUUGUAUAUACAAACAUUUUUCUAACUGACGGAUUGGUGAUCACUGUACGGCCCAAACUGUACAUUUUCUUAAAUAUGGUAUUUGAAGAUAUGCCCUACUAUGAAGUUAAGUAAGAGCUGCAUGUUUUCAAAGUUUAAUGCAGACCUGGGCAGGAACUUCCGGUAUAUAUGUUUGUAUAUAUAUAUACAGCUGGAGCUGCCGAAUCCCUGAAUAAGGACAAAGCGGCGAAUUAUUCGGCAAUAAGGGAAACAUAUAUUCCUAAUCAAGCGCUAGACAACACCUAAUAACAUUUUAUUUAAUUCGUACUAUCAGCUACAUUGUAGUAGUUAUUAUAAUUUAUGAUACGUAUUAGGUCAACUAUUUUCUCUUGAUAACCGGAAGCAGCAACCUUGUUUCCCAAGUAGAUCGCAUAACGAAUGAAUUUUUCAAACUCGGCUUCUUCGUAUACUAAUCGCUUGUAGCGCGGAUGAACAAACUGUUGUUCUUCAUCCAAAACAAACGGCUUUGAGUUCAGAAU